rnacentral:tRNA from 1 species
GCCGGAGUGGUGGAACUGGUAGACGCGCUGGACUCAAAAUCCAGUGUCCCUUGCGGACGUGAGAGUUCGAUUCUCUCCUCCGGCA